rnacentral:lncRNA from 1 species
CCAGGAAAAAAAAAAAGCCAACAAAACAAAAUCAAAGCCAUGAAUGAGCUUUGUGACAGUGUUUCUAAUACAGUGUUUCUAAUACAUUAAUAUCUGAAUUUCAGGUUCAACUAAAAUUUACUUUUUUUUUCCUAUCAUAGGUCUAUAUUUCACUUAUUUCCAGAAGAAAAUCUCAAGUUCAGAGCAGCAAGUCAGACAAGGGUUUGUCAUCUUUGAGAUUUCCCCCUUAAGAAGUGGGAUUAGAUUUCCAAGAGACUUUUGCACCUACAAAUAUGUACAGACUAAGAACUGACAGAAGGCACUACUUCCAGAUGCAUUUCCUCAGUCUUGCAGUUUAAUGGCAGCAGGUGAAUGAUUGCCUGGAUAUCCACAGUAAUUUGCUGGGGCUCUAGUAAUUCAAGUUCAUAUAAUAUGAUCUGUGUGAGAAACAUCAUUUGGAAAAAAGGGAAUUUAUAUGUUUUCAUGUGUCAAUGCUGCCUAAUUAUUAGAAGAUGAGGCUGAAUCCUCCAGAAAAAAAAGACCAUAAAAUUAGAGCUUCCAAUGAGGUAUAAAAACU